GACGAACGCUGGCGGCGUGCCUAACACAUGCAAGUCGAGCGGAGUCGAUCGACGGAAGCCUUCGGGCGGAAGAUGGUUGACUUAGCGGCGGAUGGGUGAGUAACGCGUGGGCAACCUGCCUCGAAGACCGGGAUAACAGCCCGAAAGGGCUGCUAAUACCGGAUGUGGUCAAGGAUCCGCAUGGAUUUUUGAUUAAAGGGGAAACCCGUUUCGAGAUGGGCCCGCGUCCUAUCAGCUAGUUGGUGAGGUAAAAGCUCACCAAGGCGACGACGGGUAGCCGGCCUGAGAGGGUGACCGGCCACACUGGAACUGAGACACGGUCCAGACUCCUACGGGGGGCAGCAGUGGGGAAUCUUCCACAAUGGGCGAAAGCCUGAUGGAGCGACGCCGCGUGAGCGAAGAAGGCCUUCGGUGUAAAGCUCUGUCUGGAGGGACGAAGGAAGUGACGGUACCUCCGGAGGAAGCCACGGCUAACUACGUG
rnacentral:rRNA from 1 species